rnacentral:sRNA from 1 species
UUUGACAAAACUUCACAGAAGCUAUCCCUAGACAACAAGUUCAACAACAGAUUAAUUCACUCCCGUGAUAGAAAUCCUCAAGCAAAGCUAGACACUGACCUAAAUCCCUUUAGCAAUCUCUAACUAAGCAGACACUAUCGAAUCAACAUGUUAAAGUCAAUACCCUCUCUACAGUCAAUCCCUUGGGGUAGAGUCAGAUAUCUCUGGAAUUAAUAGGAUCUAACGCCCAUUAAACGCCUUCUGAGCGCUGGACGUCUGGACUCAUACUCCACAUUAGCCAGUGAAACAAGCAAUAAGCGCAACUAAUCCAGAAGGGAUUCUAGUAUUCUAAACUCAACCACCUAAAAUGACCAAGUAAACCACAACUAUUCUAUCCCAUCCUCAGAAAUACAGUUCACUACUCAGACAUAAUCAAAGACAAUAGCAAAGCAACAAUUGAAAACAUGCUAACAGAAAUGACGAAAGACUUAAACGAAAACUGAAUAUCAAAUACUUGAAAGCGAAACUACAAAGUCGCAGGAGAAACACUGCGGCUAUCAAAGUUGAGAAAAAGGUAAAAGCGAGAUAAUAACGGAUAAUAGCGGAUGCUAGCGGAUGCCCUAGGGAAAACCCUAAGAGGCAGUUUAUAUAAGCGAGAAAUGAAACUAAUAAGGAAACUAAAUAUAUAGCGAAUCUUCACGUCAUGAUCCUGCGACCGAAUAUGUCAUUGGCAUCUGACGGGCAGAAAUGAGCUUCCUAGUGAUCGAGUAUGUCAUUGAUCAAACUAGGCUUCAGGGGAUCCGUCUUGCGAUCGAGUGAGAUGCAGUGAAGUCGAGAUUGAAUGGUCCAGCGACCCUGUGAUCGAGUGCGAUCGAGUGGAUGUCAUGAGGUGGUGAUCGAGUGGUUUCUUUGGCUUCUCUUCUCUUCUUUGUUCUCAGCUUGUCUUGUUGAGUGCAAAAUGAGCAGAUAGGCUUCUUGGUGAUCGAGUGGUGAUCGAGUGGUUCUGAUGGGGUGAUUCCUCCGGCUUCGCGUUUGAGUGAAACUGAGCUGCUUGCUUCUCCGGGGUUGCGAUAGAGUGAUUUGCCCUGGCAGGGCUCCGAGGCUGUGAUAGAGUACUUUUGCUGAAGGCGUCAUUGGGCAUUCUGACUUCAUGUUCUGUUUUUCCUCUGUUUGAACUCCAAAAGCAUCCAAAGUACCUGAAAACAACCAAAUAUGCCAUGCACAUGCAAUCCUAAUGCAAAAUCGUCCUAAGUAUGUAAAACACACUAAAACGACUCCUAAUGAGAUGAAAUGUGGAUGAAUCAAUGACAAAGUGGUGAAGAAUGAAUGCCUAAAUCAUGCAAAUUAUAGACAUAUCAUGAGCCUAUGCUACGGUUGUGUUCUCAAAUACUCACAUGUCUGGAAUCAUUACUCCAGAAGGAUGGAAUAACUGGGGAGACUCGACCAUAGAAAAGUAAGCGACUACAUACACAUCUUAGAAUACACAUAAAAGACCUUAUUUAUGUCUUGUAUGGGUUUUAUAUUUUAGGACGAUGACUUUUGGAGAGCAUAAAUGUUAUGGACGGGAACAGAUUACAAAGAGAGGGUUUUGUUUGGGAAACAACUCACAGAUUCAGAAGUAUCUUCUUUCGUAGAUGUAUCUUUUAUACAUGGUGAUGAAUGGCUCCGUCACACUAACAUAGUCUCUGAGCAUACAUCUAAAGACAUUGGAGAUGAUCUUAUAGGAUUUUACUAACAUAUAUAAG